rnacentral:lncRNA from 1 species
AUGUAUAUAUAUGUUCCAGACCAUAUGAGUAUUUGGACCGUACGCGUACGGUCCGGACCAUAUGCGUAUACUCGUACGGUCCGACCAUACGCGUACGGUCGGACCGUAUGAGUAUACGCGUAUGGUCCAGUACGAGCUAACCAUACAUGUCAUCAUAUGGGUUAAAUUUAAACAAACGUUUAUCACAAUCUUAUUUUUUUUUUUUUUGGUUUUACAAAUUGUUAUUAUUACAAUUAGAUGGAUUAAAUGAACAAACGAACUAUUGAAAUUAAAUAGUUUUUUAAUUGUAUAUCUGAAUCCUAUAUAUUUUGGGACUCUCACCCAAGGUGACGCUUGCUUCCACAAG